rnacentral:sRNA from 1 species
UAUGGAAACAAAAAGAGAGGGGCUGC